UACAAUGACUCUCGGCAACGGAUAUCUCGGCUCUUGCAUCGAUGAAGAACGUAGCGAAAUGCGAUACUUGGUGUGAAUUGCAGAAUCCCGUGAACCAUCGAGUCUUUGAACGCAAGUUGCGCCCGAAGCCAUUAGGCUGAGGGCACGCCUGCCUGGGUGUCACA
rnacentral:rRNA from 1 species